rnacentral:rRNA from 1 species
UACGUAGGGGGCGAGCGUUGUCCGAAGUUACUGGGCGUAAAGCGCGCGUAGGCGGGUCCUUAAGUGAGGGGUGAAAGGUUCGGGCUCAACCCGGACACUGCCUUUCAUACUGGGGACCUUGAGUGCGGGAGGGGCGAGUGGAAUGGUCGGUGUAGCGGUGAAAUGCGUAGAUAUCGAUCGGAACACCCAUGGCGAAGGCAGCUCGCUGGCCUGCAACUGACACUGAUGAACGAAAGCCAGGGGAGCAAACGGG